GACGAACGCUGGCGGCGUGCUUAACACACGCAAGUCGAACGAUGAUGCCAGCUUGCUGGUGGAUUAGUGGCGAACGGGUGAGUAACACGUGAGCAACCUGCCCCUGACUUCGGGAUAACCGCGGGAAACCGUGGCUAAUACCGGAUAUGACGCGCUAUCGCAAGGUGGUGGGUGGAAAGAUUUAUCGGUUGGGGCUGGGCUCGCGGCCUAUCAGCUUGUUGGUGGGGCGAGGGCCUACCAAAGCGACGAAGGGAAGCCGGCCUGAGAGGGGGACCGGCCACACUGGGACUGAGACACGGCCGAGACGCCUACGGGAGGCAGCAGUGGGGAAUAUUGCACAAUGGGCGCAAGCCUGAUGCAGCGACGCCGCGUGAGGGAUGACGGCCUUCGGGUUGUAAACCUCGUUCAGUAGGGAAGAAGGCCUUCGGGUUGACGGUACCUGCAGAAGAAGCGCCGGCUAACUACGUG
rnacentral:rRNA from 1 species